GCGGGGUUAGCUCAGCUGGGAGAGCGUCAGACUGAAGUCCACUUCAAUCAUCGAGGUAAAUCGGUAUCUGAAGGCCGUGCGUUCGAUCCGCACACACCGCA